GAGGGAGGAGGAGGAAGCGCGCCUCGGCCGGCCGCCGCAGUUGGAGUCGGAGCAGGGGGGAGCAGUUUCAAAAAAUUAUUAAAAAUCGAGGGAAAAUCCUAGAAACGCUCUGUGGGCCUGAAAACCCCAGAGAGGUCCCAGGCUCCCUGGAAAAGAGGUUUCGGGUGUCCGUAAGGCCUCUCCGGGAUCAGAUGUGGCAGGUGAAUCUUGGCUGAAGGAGAGAGGAAGCACGGAGGUCCACAUCCAUGGAGUUGAUAACAGGAAGACCCCUGAGGCACACACAAUUAUAUCAAGCAGUGACACUGGAGUCAGCUGUGGGAAUACACUGAAUGGUCUUCACACCCCUGUGGAUGGCAAGGGAGCUAAUGGAGAUUGUAGAAGUGAGAACUGUGCUGUUGCAUCCUCAGGCAAAUGAUUUCUUCUGUAAAUGUCUUCUUGACAUGUUUAUGAAGAGACAUCCUCAGAGCCAAACUGCCUUCAUCUUCAUCAGAUCUGUUUGCAAGAGAUAGUCAUAGCUGACCAUGUUAACUGUGACCUACUUUUAUAUAAGGGGCACAGUGCAUCAUGGGACCUUCACAUGAGUAUCCAGGCACCCCUCCAAGCCAGCUGUAUGAAAAUCUAAUUGUACAAAGCCUCAAGGAGUCUGUGAUGGCUAAUCUUGGUUGUCAACUUGAAGACAUCUAGAAUCAACUGAAUCCCAAGCAGCUAGGUGUUGAGAAAUUUUCAUGAUCGAAUCAUCUGAGGUCAGAAGACUCACUCUAAAGCUGGGCUACACCUUCUGAUGGCAUCCCGCAUAAAAGCACACGGAAUAAGGAAAGCUUUGAUUUUUGCCUGCUUGUCCUCACUCUUACUGGCAAGUUCAUCUAGUCUGCUGCUGUGGCAUUCUUUCACUGGUGUUAGAACCUACUUCUUCAUGACUGAAGACUAGCUAAGGUAUCCAGCCAUGUGGACUGAAUAACUACUAAAUUUAUGGCCUUUUUUUUUUGGAGCAAGAGAUA
ensembl:antisense 9330179D12Rik RIKEN cDNA 9330179D12 gene